AUUCCGUGAUGAGGGCACUUCUGAAGUAAUUCGUUGUACCUGUCCCAUGCCUCAUACAAUGACUCAUCAUCCAUUUGUUGGAAAGCAGUGAUUUUGUUCCUCAACUU
rnacentral:snoRNA from 1 species